UUUAAAAAUUUUUCAUUUAGUUAUUUUAACAUCUGAAUAUCUAAUUCAGCUAAACUACUUUUCAUUUUACCCAAAAAAAAAAUUUUUAAUAACAUCUGCAGACUCUUGAUGUUGUUAAAAUAUUUAAGUAAGCGUAGUUAUUUGUUUUUUACAGUCAAUAGAUUCCGAUAAACUCCUUUGAGUACAUUAUAGCAACUGAUUCCAUCAUAGAAGAGUAUUCAGCAACAACAAAUAAACAAACGAAAAAUGUUGAAUUACUACACGAAUUAUACAAUUGAAAAGCAUGAUUUUUUUUUGGUAUUGCGAAUUACACCAUUUUUCGAUAGUUUCUGCAACGCUUCCAAAAUUAUGUUAAUUUUUACUUUAAAUAUUCUUAUAAUUUUAUAUUUAAUUUCCGGCGCUUUUUACAGAAUAAACUAUAAAGGAAUGUAUGUUCUUCUUAGAAGACUCUCUCGGAAAAAGUUUACUGAAUCUUUUAUUGUUCCAACCAUGUUAUGAAUUUCGAAAAAAUCACUCAAAAUAUUAAUAACUAAAUUCAACUUAUGAUAAAUACAAUGAAAAAAAGUUGCGUGUUUGAAUAAUCUAAUUUAAUGUUUUUAUGAUGGUCACCUAUUCAUAUAACUACUUUCAAUUUGUUCUAUUAAUAUAUUAUUACCUAUACAUUAAAUAGUAAUUUAUUUUAAAUCAUUAAAUUUAAAAAAAUAAUUCCUAAAAGCCAAGGGGCCAAUGCCCCAGCUUGCCCCCCCCCCGGUGCCUAUUAACCUGGUCAAUAACAUUUAAUAAAUAAUAACGUUAUUCGCCGGUCGUUGACGCUAAUAUAUUAACAAAAUACAUAUAGGUAAUUAAAAUAAUGUAGUAUGUUAAAGAUGACUAUAAACAUUAUAAAUUAUAAUAAUAUAUAUGUAUACCUAAGUAGCAUAAUAUCGAUGUAAGAUAUACAUGAUUUAUGUUAUGGAGUAAAAAAUCAUUACUCACUAACGUUUUACGUAGGGCCCGAGAAGCGAAUCGUGUUGAGGUAACCAUAAUAUUAUGUUAUUUAACGCCACUGCUACCGUGCUGACGAAGAGGGCCCCACUGCUGUCGUAACAUGAGUGUGUGUGUGUGUAUUUAGCGAUCGUACGUGGAGAGUUGAACGGGCGUUACACUGACCUCAGAAUAAUACAGACUUGAAAACUACGGAACCAAUUGACAAAAAAUUUCGUAAACACAUUCCUUGAGACUUGGACAGUGUUUUUUUACUUCCUUUUUCAGCGUUGGAUCACUAUGGAUCACUAUGCAUUUUUAUUAAUGCGAGUAUUAACAUUUAUCAAUACCAACUCACAUUUCACACAUAACAGCAUUGGAUCACUAUGCAACACUAUGAAUUUUUAUUAAUACGAAUGCAAUACCAAAUUUCUAUGUACCGUGGCGAACGAUAGUAUAAGUAAACAAGAAGAAAUAGAAAAUAGAUAAUAUAAAAGUUGUAGAUUUUUAAAUAUAUUAUAAGUAUAUACAAUUUGUCCCGUAUCAAUUGAAUUAGUUCACAAAGCGAGGUACACCGAUGCUGAUUUGCCCAUAAAUUGCCCACAGAAAUUUUGCAAUGUAAUUAUCAAAAGAGUACUGAUAGUCGUUUGCUAAUUGAUAAAUUUAUUAAUAUUGCCAAUUUAAUUUAAUUUAAUUUUUUUUAUUUCCUAUAUGGACAUUGUAUCAUUAUUUUAAUUUUAAAUUGAAAAUUUACACGUCUUAGUGAUAUUAUAUCUUGGGUUAGGUUAGGUUGGUUACUAUGUACGUAUGUAGUGUUGGAUAUUAUGUAAAUAAAUGCAACGUUUUUUAAACAAUA